GAUGAACGCUGGCGGCGUGCCUAAUACAUGCAAGUCGAGCGAACAGACGAGGAGCUUGCUCCUCUGACGUUAGCGGCGGACGGGUGAGUAACACGUGGAUAACCUACCUAUAAGACUGGGAUAACUUCGGGAAACCGGAGCUAAUACCGGAUAACAUGUUGAACCGCAUGGUUCAACAGUGAAAGACGGUCUUGCUGUCACUUCUAGAUGGAUCCGCGCCGCAUUAGCUAGUUGGUAAGGUAACGGCUUACCACGGCAACGAUGCGUAGCCGACCUGAGAGGGUGAUCGGCCACACUGGAACUGAGCCAGGGUCCAGACUCCUACGGGAGGCCGCAGUAGGGAAUCUGCCGCAAAGGGCGAAAGCCUGACGGAGCAGCGCCGCGUGAGUGAAGAAGGUCUUCGGAUCGUAAAACUCUGUUAUUAGGGAAGAACAAAUGUGUAAGUAACUAUGCACGUCUUGACGGUACCUAAUCAGAAAGCCACGGCUAACUACGUG
rnacentral:rRNA from 1 species